rnacentral:rRNA from 1 species
UACGAAGGGGGCUAGCGUUGCUCGGAAUCACUGGGCGUAAAGCGCACGUAGGCGGACUCUUAAGUCGGUGGUGAAAUCCUGGAGCUCAACUCCAGAACUGCCUUUGAUACUGAAGAUCUUGAGUUCGGGAGAGGUGAGUGGAACUGCGAGUGUAGAGGUGAAAUUCGUAGAUAUUCGCAAGAACACCAGUGGCGAAGGCGGCUCACUGGCCCGAUACUGACGCUGAGGCACGAAAGCGUGGGGGAGCAAACAGG